rnacentral:rRNA from 1 species
UACGGAGGGUGCAAGCGUUAUCCGGAUUUACUGGGUUUAAAGGGAGCGCAGGCGGGCUAUUAAGUCAGUGGUGAAAUCUGUGGGCUUAACCUACAAACUGCCAUUGAUACUAUUAGUCUUGAAUAUUGUUGAGGUUAGCGGAAUAUGUCAUGUAGCGGUGAAAUGCAUAGAUAUGACAUAGAACACCAAUUGCGAAGGCAGCUGGCUAAACAAAUAUUGACGCUGAGGCUCGAAAGCGUGGGGAUCAAAC